ensembl:lncRNA
CUGGCAGGGAUGCGGACGUCACCCAGCUCCGGGGGCCUCACACUUGCAUUUGUUUAGCAGUCUUCAAACAAAGAGGCUGCCCAGGAGAAGGAAGGCCCCUGGUGGCCAUGGAGGACACGGAGAAUCCAACGAAUGAAUCCAGUGGCCUCGUAUUCGCCAACGCUCCAUUGAAACCACAGCUACGCUCCAGGCUGGACACUCCCUGUGGAGCAAGGCUGGAAGCUGAACUGUGCUCAGAUGAUAUCCCGGCAGUGAAAACACCAGAGUGCUAAAUGAAAAAUCUAUGCUCUCCCCACCAACUUCUUCAACUAGUGGGCCGCACAGGCUCCAGCAAGGAUUAAUUUGAACACUGUCAUUUCUUGGCAUCCCAAGCUGAAUUUUCCAGGACACAAAGGCAUGAGGUAUUCCAUCAUCUUGAUAAUUUUUAUAGCCAGUGGGGAGGUAGAAGGGAACAAAUAAUUGGAUGCACCAAGCUAUGGAACAAAUGAAACUAUGAAACGUUCACGAUCAAGUCCUGGAUCAAAGUGACUGGCUCGUAGAUAGGCAAGAAAUUUGGCCUCCUUCAAAAUAAGAAAUGAGGAUGGAGCCUCAAGCAGUGGGUCUAAAAGUGAGUCUUUCACAGGCUUGAGGAAGAAUACAGUGUUUCCCAUUAACCACCCAACACUCAAGAAGAAAUGUCACCUAAGAAACUGACUUUGGGUUACAAACUAGGGGCAAAUACUGGAAGGAAAUAAAUCAAAAUAUGCACACUGGUUGUGCUAUAAUGAUGGGAUUACUGGGUAUUUUUUGUUCUUUAUUUUCCUAACUUCCUGUACACCAAUAACUUAUAGCAUAUAUUUUUUUAGUUUCUUAAAAGACCUUCCCUUUUUUUUUAGCAUAUCAGCCACCAAAACACCCAGUUAAAAAGCUUAGCACCCAUUCUUGACUCCUUUAUUUUCGUCUUAAAUAUCUCAGUUCAUGCAUCCUCUCUUCUCUGUCUCUUCUUUCUGGGCCUUAGUGCAGAUGCUUGGUGUCAUUUCACUCCUCUUUCUGGUCAUUGACAUCCUCCCCUAAAUGGCUUCCCCACUGCUGGUCUUACUAAUCAUCCAGUCCAUCCUCCAACGGCAGCCAGAGUGACUUUCUAAAAUAGAAACCCCUUCAUGUCACAUUCCUGCUCAAUCUCUUCAAUAGCUCUUCGUUGCUUCCAGGAGACAAUUUAAAUUCCUUUCCAUAACAUGCAGGGCUCUUCAAAACCAAACCCGCCAAGCUCUUUAACUUCAUCUCUCCCUCCCAAACAGCUCUCCCCACUGCCACUACCCCAGGUCGCUCAUUCCACCUACAGGCCUUUAUACAAGCCAUUACCUUUGCCGGAAACGCCCCACCUCCCACCUGUGCAGCUUCCCAGGCCUCUGUGAAGCUCAAGCAUGCUACACUUCCCCACCCACGGAAUCGCUGAUGGCCACCCACCUUGUCCUGAUGCUGAUCCUGUCCACGUCACAGCACUGUACACAGUUUUGGGGCUGUGCACCCCACAUUUGCCUCUCUCACUAGACUGUGGGCUCUGGAAAGCAGGGACCCUGUUUGACUCAUUUCUGGAUCCUCAGCACCUGGCUCCUAUAGUGCCCAGAACAGGGGAGAUGUUUGGUAAAUAUUUGUUAAUUUCAUAAAAGGAGGAGUCAAUCAAGGAAUUAAAAUGUGGCUUUCUGCCAUACUUAUAUUAUUUAGAACUGUAUCAUCUACUUUACCACAAUUAAAAAUUAAAAUUUUUUUAAAAACCUAGAUCAUCUAAAAUACUCAAGAAAAGCCAAAUCACAUCAAAUGCCUUUUGGUUCCUAGAUUCUAGGCUUUUUGUCUCUCCCACUUCUUACCCUCCCAGGCG